GGCUCCUUGGUCUAGAGGUAUGAUUCUCGCUUUGGGUCUACUCAACAUCCAGAAUUUGCGAGAGGCCCCGGGUUCGAAUCCCGGAGGAGCCC